UACAGAGGGGGCAAGCGUUGUUCGGAAUUACUGGGCGUAAAGGGCGCGUAGGCGGCCUGCUAAGUCGAACGUGAAAUCCCCGAGCUCAACUCGGGAACUGCGUCCGAUACUGGCAGGCUUGAAUCCGGGAGAGGGAUGCGGAAUUCCAGGUGUAGCGGUGAAAUGCGUAGAUAUCUGGAGGAACACCGGUGGCGAAGGCGGAUCUCUGGGCCUUGCCUGACGCUGAGGCGCGAAAGCUAGGGGAGCGAACAGG
rnacentral:rRNA from 1 species